rnacentral:rRNA from 1 species
UACAGAGGGUGCAAGCGUUAAUCGGAAUUACUGGGCGUAAAGCGUGCGUAGACGGUUACAUAAGUCGGGUGUGAAAGCCCGGGGCUCAACCCCGGGAUGCCGCUCGAGACUGUUUGGCUUGAGGACGGAAGAGGGGCGUGGAAUUCCUGGUGUAGCGGUGGAAUGCGCAGAUAUCAGGAGGAACACCGAUGGCGAAGGCAGAUCUCUGGGCCGUAACUGACGCUGAGGAGCGAAAGCAUGGGGAGCGAACAGG